GGAGGGACAUAUAAGUCCAAACUGUUCACAGCCUUCCAAGGUAUGUUUUAGUUGUGGAAAAGAAGAUCACAUAGCUCGAUUUUGUCCUGUAGCGAAAUCAAGUCCAGCUGGAACGGUGGCACCAAAGGCGGAUACGGAAAAGACAAAGUCAACGGUUCCUGGAAGAGCGUUUGUCGUGACCGGUCAAAAUGCGAGGAACCCGAACGAAGUUAGCACGGGUUAGUUAAUUAUAAAUUCUUGCGAAGUUUAUACCUUACUAGAUACCGGUUCAACCCAUUCUUUUAUCUCUCUUGCUUGCGCUUAACGUUUGAACUUGACUACGGAGAAAUUAAACUUUGACCUAUUUAUGGAGACUCCGUUAGGAAAAACUUUCAUUACAUCC
rnacentral:lncRNA from 1 species